AGUGAACGCUGGCGGCAGGCCUAACACAUGCGAGUCGAACGGCAGCACAGGAGAGCUUGCUCUCUGGGUGGCGAGUGGCGGACGGGUGAGGAAUACAUCGGAAUCUACCUUUUCGUGGGGGAUAACGUAGGGAAACUUACGCUAAUACCGCAUACGACCUUAGGGUGAAAGCGGAGGACCUUCGGGCUUCGCGCGGAUAGAUGAGCCGAUGUCGGAUUAGCUGGUUGGCGGGGGUAAAGGCCCACCAAGGCGACGAUCCGUAGCUGGUCUGAGAGGAUGAUCAGCCACACUGGAACUGAGACACGGUCCAGACUCCUACGGGAGGCAGCAGUGGGGAAUAUUGGACAAUGGGCGCAAGCCUGAUCCAGCCAUGCCGCGUGGGUGAAGAAGGCCUUCGGGUUGUAAAGCCCUUUUGUUGGGAAAGAAAAGCAGUCGGUUAAUACCCGAUUGUUCUGACGGUACCCAAAGAAUAAGCACCGGCUAACUUCGUGCCAGCAGCCGCAGUAA
rnacentral:rRNA from 1 species